ensembl:snoRNA SNORD15 Small nucleolar RNA SNORD15
CUUCGGUGAUGAGACGAUGACGAGUCGGAUCAGGUCUCUGUCUGGUUCUGGCGGCCGGUUCAGGUCCACGUUCUGUGGUUCUGUUCUGAGUCAUCAGAACACGGCGAGUCCGUUCAGCUGAAGACGCUGAGGCAUUUGUCUGAGAAGG